UACGAAAGGGGCUAGCGUUGUUCGGAAUUACUGGGCGUAAAGCGCACGUAGGCGGCCUUGUAAGAUGGGGGUGAAAUCCCCGGGCUCAACCCGGGAACUGCUUUCAUGACUGCAAAGCUUGAUGAUGCGAGAGGUUAGCGGAUUUGCGAGUGUAGAGGUGAAAUUCGUAGAUAUUCGGAAGAACACCAGUGGCGAAGGCGGCUAACUGGCGCAUUUCUGACGCUGAGGUGCGAAAGCGUGGGGAGCAAACAGG
rnacentral:rRNA from 1 species